GAGUUGAUCAUGGCUCAGAACGAACGCUGGUGGCGUGUCUUAUACAUGCAAGUCGAGCGAGGCAGCAAUGCCGAGCGGCGAACGGGUGAGUAACGCGUAAGCAAUCUGCCCCAUAUCAGGAAAUACCCGCGCCAACGCGCGGUUAAUGUCCAGGAGAGUGGCCCCUUGCAUGAGGGGUUGACUAGAGAUUUAUCGGUAUGGGAUGAGCUUGCGUCCGAUUAGCUAGUUGGCGGGGCAACGGCCCACCAAGGCGACGAUCGGUAGCCGGCCUGAGAGGGUGAUCGGCCACAUUGGGACUGAGAUACGGCCCAGACUCCUACGGGAGGCAGCAGUAGGGAAUAUUGCACAAUGGGGGAAACCCUGAUGCAGCAACGCCACGUGUGGGAAGAAGCAUUUCGGUGUGUAAACCACUGUCAUGAGGGAAUAAGGCCCGCCUUCGGACGGGAUUGAAUGUACCUUGAGAGGAAGCACCGGCAAACUUCGUGCCAGCCGCAGC
rnacentral:rRNA from 1 species